UACGUAGGGCGCAAGCGUUGUCCGGAAUUAUUGGGCGUAAAGAGCUCGUAGGCGGUGUGUCGCGUCGGCCGUGAAAACCUGCAGCUUAACUGUGGGCUUGCGGUCGAUACGGGCAGACUUGAGUACUGCAGGGGAGACUGGAAUUCCUGGUGUAGCGGUGGAAUGCGCAGAUAUCAGGAGGAACACCGGUGGCAAAGGCGGGUCUCUGGGCAGUAACUGACGCUGAGGAGCGAAAGCGUGGGGAGCGAACAGG
rnacentral:rRNA from 1 species